GAUUACGGCCAUACCACACUGACAAUGCCCGAUCUCGUCUGAUCUCAGAAGCUAAGCAGAGUUGGGCUGGGUCAGUACUUGGAUGGGUGACCGCCUGGGAAUACCUGGUGCUGUAAGCA
rnacentral:rRNA from 1 species